rnacentral:ncRNA from 1 species
AGAGGAAGCCGGUGCGAAUCCGGCGCGGUCCCGCCACUGUCACCGGGGAAGAACCCCCGGGAGCCAGGAACUC